AGAUGUGAGGGCCAACCGCCUGUGACAUCUGUCACCACACUGAUCUCCAGCCUUGAGUCAGCCCAUGUGCCUGCCCAAGCCCAGGUCCCCUUCCUCACCCAGCGCUCCAUAUGCAUCCCUCCCAAAGCUGCUGGGGCACAGAGGACGACCUCCCUGAUACAGACAGUACAUUUUAUCACUCAAGACUAUUGGGUAGUUUGCUCCCUGCUACAACCUUCAAACCAAACCAAGCUCCAUUCCUAGGAGGGCUUUUCCAGUAGUCAAAACCAAAAUUAUGCGCAUAACAGGACUGAAACAGUGUCU
rnacentral:snRNA from 1 species